AUUGAACGCUGGCGGCAGGCCUAACACAUGCAAGUCGAACGGUAACAGGAAGAAGCUUGCUUCUUUGCUGACGAGUGGCGGACGGGUGAGUAAUGUCUGGGAAACUGCCUGAUGGAGGGGGAUAACUACUGGAAACGGUAGCUAAUACCGCAUAACGUCGCAAGACCAAGGAGGGGGCCCUUCGGGCCUCUUGCCAUCGGAUGUGCCCAGAUGGGAUUAGCUAGUAGGUGGGGUAACGGCUCACCUAGGCGACGAUCCCUAGCUGGUCUGAGAGGAUGACCAGCCACACUGGAACUGAGACACGGUCCAGACUCCUACGGGAGGCAGCAGUGGGGAAUAUUGCACAAUGGGCGCAAGCCUGAUGCAGCCAUGCCGCGUGUAUGAAGAAGGCCUUCGGGUUGUAAAGUACUUUCAGCGGGGAGGAAGGGAGUAAAGUUAAUACCUUUGCUCAUUGACGUUACCCGCAGAAGAAGCACCGGCUAACCCCGUG
rnacentral:rRNA from 1 species